GAUGAACGCUAGCUACAGGCUUAACACAUGCAAGUCGAGGGGAAACGGCAUUGAGUGCUUGCACUCUUUGGACGUCGACCGGCGGACGGGUGAGUAAAGCGUAUCCAACGUUCCCAUUACUGUGGGAUAACCUGCCGAAAGGCAGACUAAUACCGCAUAGUCUUCGAUGACGGCAUCAGAUUUGAAGUAAAGGUUUAUCGGUAAUGGAUGGGGAUGCGUCUGAUUAGCUUGUUGGCGGGGUAACGGCCCCCCAAGGCUACGACCAGUAGGGGUUCUGAGUGGAAGGUCCCCCACAUUGGAACUGAGACACGGUCCAAACUCCUACGGGAGGCAGCAGUGUGGAAUAUUGGUCAAUGGACGGAAGUCUGACCCAGCCAAGUAGCGUGCAGGAGGACGGCCCUAGGGGUUGUAAACUGCUUUUGUAUGGGGAUAAAGUUAGGAACGUGUCCCUAUUUGCAGGUACCAUACGAAUAAGGACCGGCUAAUUCCGUG
rnacentral:rRNA from 1 species